rnacentral:ncRNA from 2 species
AAUUAAGGGAGCAAUGUCUAAGGAAUUAUUUCAUCCUGGGAAAUAUGGACAGAUUUAGAGCAAAUUCAGUAAUUGUAUUCAGUCUUUGAGAUAGGAAAGUUUGUUAUAAACAUCAGUUGGGCACAUAAUGUAAACAUUUAAUUAUUAAAUUCAGAAAAGUUUAACUUAAUCAGGAUUUCUUUCUUUUAAAUUGUGUCUUUUUCUAUUUAGGCUGGAUGCAGUCCCUCUGAUAUUGGUAUUAUUGCACCGUACAGGCAGCAAUUAAAGAUCAUCAAUGAUUUAUUGGCACGUUCUAUUGGGAUGGUCGAAGUUAAUACAGUAGACAAAUACCAAGGAAGGGACAAAAGUAUUGUCCUAGUAUCUUUUGUUAGAAGUAAUAAGGAUGGAACUGUUGGUGAACUCUUGAAAGAUUGGCGACGUCUUAAUGUUGCUAUAACCAGAGCCAAACAUAAACUGAUUCUUCUGGGGUGUGUGCCCUCACUAAAUUGCUAUCCUCCUUUGGAGAAGCUGCUUAAUCAUUUAAACUCAGAAAAAUUAAUAUCCUUUUUCUUCUGUAUAUG